UAGGGAAUCUUCGGCAAUGGACGAAAGUCUGACCGAGCAACGCCGCGUGAGUGAAGAAGGUUUUCGGAUCGUAAAACUCUGUUGUUAGAGAAGAACAAGGACGUUAGUAACUGAACGUCCCCUGACGGUAUCUAACCAGAAAGCCACGGCUAACUACGUGCCAGCAGCCGCGGUAAUACGUAGGUGGCAAGCGUUGUCCGGAUUUAUUGGGCGUAAAGCGAGCGCAGGCGGUUUCUUAAGUCUGAUGUGAAAGCCCCCGGCUCAACCGGGGAGGGUCAUUAGAAACUGGGAGACUUGAGUGCAGAAGAGGGGAGUGGAAUUCCAUGUGUAGCGGUGAAAUGCGUAGAUAUAUGGAGGAACACCAGUGGCGAAGGCGGCUCUCUGGUCUGUAACUGACGCUGAGGCUCGAAAGCGUGGGGAGCAAACAGG
rnacentral:rRNA from 1 species